UACGUAGGGGCAAGCGUUGUCCGGAUUUACUGGGCGUAAAGAGCGCGCAGGCGGUCGUUCAAGUCGCGUGUGAAAGCCCCCGGCUCAACUGGGGAGGGUCACGCGAUACUGAUCGACUCGAAGGCAGGAGAGGGUAGUGGAAUUCCCGGUGUAGUGGUGAAAUGCGUAGAUAUCGGGAGGAACACCAGUGGCGAAGGCGACUACCUGGCCUGUUUCUUGACGCUGAGGCGCGAAAGCUAGGGGAGCAAACGGG
rnacentral:rRNA from 1 species